AUAUAUAUAUAUAUACGUAUAUAGGGUUGGGACGACGAAUGAAAUCAUUAGUCAACUAGUCGGCUACCAUUUGUCACUGACUUGUCAUCUAUUUGGUGA